AUUGAACGCUGGCGGCAGGCUUAACACAUGCAAGUCGAACGGUAACAUAGAGAAGCUUGCUUCUUUGAUGACGAGUGGCGGACGGGUGAGUAAUGCUUGGGAAUCUAGCUUAUGGAGGGGGAUAACUACGGGAAACUGUAGCUAAUACCGCGUAGAAUCGAGAGAUGAAAGUGUGGGACCUUCGGGCCACAUGCCAUAGGAUGAGCCCAAGUGGGAUUAGGUAGUUGGUGAGGUAAAGGCUCACCAAGCCGACGAUCUCUAGCUGGUCUGAGAGGAUGACCAGCCACACUGGGACUGAGACACGGCCCAGACUCCUACGGGAGGCAGCAGUGGGGAAUAUUGCGCAAUGGGGGCAACCCUGACGCAGCCAUGCCGCGUGAAUGAAGAAGGCCUUCGGGUUGUAAAGUUCUUUCGGUAGCGAGGAAGGCAUUUAGUUUAAUAGACUAGGUGAUUGACGUUAACUACAGAAGAAGCACCGGCUAACUCCGUGCCAGCAGCCGCGGUAAUACGGAGGGUGCGAGCGUUAAUCGGAAUAACUGGGCGUAAAGGGCACGCAGGCGGUGACUUAAGUGAGGUGUGAAAGCCCCGGGCUUAACCUGGGAAUUGCAUUUCAUACUGGGUCGCUAGAGUACUUUAGGGAGGGGUAGAAUUCCACGUGUAGCGGUGAAAUGCGUAGAGAUGUGGAGGAAUACCGAAGGCGAAGGCAGCCCCUUGGGAAUGUACUGACGCUCAUGUGCGAAAGCGUGGGGAGCAAACAGG
rnacentral:rRNA from 1 species